rnacentral:rRNA from 1 species
CUACGGGAGGCAGCAGUGAGGAAUAUUGGACAAUGGGCGCAAGCCUGAUCCAGCCAUGCCGCGUGCAGGAUGACGGUCCUAUGGAUUGUAAACUGCUUUUGCACAGGAAGAAACAACAUUACGUGUAAGUCUGACGGUACGGAGAGUAGAU